AACGAACGCUGGCGGCAGGCCUAACACAUGCAAGUCGAGCGGACCCUUCGGGGUUAGCGGCGGACGGGUGAGUAGCGCGUGGGAAUAUGCCCUUCUCUACGGAAUAGUCCUGGGAAACUGGGGGUAAUACCGUAUACGCCCUUUGGGGGAAAGAUUUAUCGGGGAAGGAUUAGCCCGCGUUGGAUUAGGUAGUUGGUGGGGUAAUGGCCUACCAAGCCGACGAUCCAUAGCUGGUUUGAGAGGAUGAUCAGCCACACUGGGACUGAGACACGGCCCAGACUCCUACGGGAGGCAGCAGUGGGGAAUCUUAGACAAUGGGGGCAACCCUGAUCGAGCCAUGCCGCGUGAGUGAUGAAGGCCUUAGGGUUGUAAAGCUCUUUCAGCUGGGAAGAUAAUGACGGUACCAGCAGAAGAAGCCCCGGCUAACUCCGUG
rnacentral:rRNA from 1 species